CAAGGCGUAGCUAUAAACUCCAAAGCAUUCAGCUUACACCUGAAAGAUACCCUUAACAAGGGUCGCCUUGA
rnacentral:tRNA from 1 species